rnacentral:lncRNA from 1 species
AUGUAAUCGUAUAAUCAGCUCCUGUACAUGUAAAAGUACUCGUAGGAUCAUCAUACGCGUAGCUAUACGAUUUCGGACACGCGUUUUUGAACAUCGCCAAAUAGCUCGACGGUUUACAGGUGGAAGGUGAAGCAUACGCGCCGCUGCAACAAUAUUCCGGGCUACCAAAUGCUUCACAUGCACAUCCAGGACACGCGUUUUUGAACAUCGCCGAAUAGCUCGACGGUUUACAGGUGGAAGGUGAAGCAUACGCGCCGCUGCAGCAAUAUUCCGGGCUACCAAAUGCUUCACAUGCACUCUUGCAUGCUUGCCCAUCCCCGACCCGUAA